CUGCAGGCGGCUCACCUGACCAGUCCGGUCAGCGCUCUGCCGUGUUUUCGGCUCCUUAAUGGCCAGUUCUUGGUCCCUUUUGGAUCCCAGAUGCCAGCCCGUCCUGCUGCAGCCACCCUGAACCCCUGCCGCUCACAGAAGAGGAAGCGUGAUGACAACGACGGGCUGCCAUGUGUCAAAAAGCCACGCAACGCCUGAAGCUAAUGACGUGUCUAAGUGGCCGUCUUGAAGUGUGGUUCCAGAGGGUUGACCAGAAGUUCUGGGAUCCCGCCUGAGAUCACCACUUCACUAAGUUUUACAUUUCAAUGAAAUGUUUAACUUUUGUAUAUAGUUCACUUUUGUUCUUUGAUGUUUUUUUUCAUUUUACAUGUAAAUAGUUCUGAAAUUUAAAAUUUGAAAAUUUAUUUCCUGUAUAUACUGUCCCUCUGCAGUGUCCACCAUCUACCUGCAGAUCAUCCACCUGCAGCCACCACCAUCGUGUUACAAAAACCCAGCCUCCCAUCUCCACCUGCAGCCACCACCAUCGGCU